CUGGUUAGCUUAGUUGGUAGAGUUCUCCACUGUUAAUGGAGAGGUCCAUGGCUCGAUACCAGGAGCAG
rnacentral:tRNA from 1 species